UGGGGAAUUUUGGACAAUGGGCGAAAGCCUGAUCCAGCAAUGCCGCGUGUGUGAAGAAGGCCUUCGGGUUGUAAAGCACUUUUGUCCGGAAAGAAAUCCUUGGCUCUAAUACAGUCGGGGGAUGACGGUACCGGAAGAAUAAGCACCGGCUAACUACGUGCCAGCAGCCGCGGUAAUACGUAGGGUGCAAGCGUUAAUCGGAAUUACUGGGCGUAAAGCGUGCGCAGGCGGUUUGCUAAGACCGAUGUGAAAUCCCCGGGCUCAACCUGGGAACUGCAUUGGUGACUGGCAGGCUAGAGUAUGGCAGAGGGGGGUAGAAUUCCACGUGUAGCAGUGAAAAUGCGUAGAGAUGUGGAGGAAUACCGAUGGCGAAGGCAGCCCCCUGGGCAAUACUGACGCUCAUGCACGAAAGCGUGGGGAGCAAACAGGAUUAGAUACCCUGGUAGUCCACGCCCUAAAACGAUGUCAACUAGUUGUUGGGGAUUCAUUUCCUUAGUAACGUAGCUAACGCGUGAAGUUGACCGCCUGGGGAGUACGGUCGCAAGAUUAAAACUUAAAUGAAUUGACGGGGUCAUAGCUGUUUCCU
rnacentral:rRNA from 1 species